GUCUGUCGUUAGAUCAGGAUCAUCACCCGUCAACCUCUUCCUUAUGAUGGCAUUAGGACUGUUAGCAUCAUCUUCAACAAUCUGCACAACCAAAGUUAAUGAGAGGAUGAUAAAAAGACAGCCAAAAACAACAGUUCCUGCAUGUACAUGCAAACGAUAUCUAAACGAAAGAGGUCAAUAUGCUCUACAGACCACAAACAAAGCCAAGAUGGGACACCAGUCAAAACUGA
rnacentral:lncRNA from 1 species